GCCCGAGCAUGUUUUGUUUAACUUGAAAGGUUGUUCUAUUGAAGUAUUCUUAUCUUCACUUCUUAUUUAUAUUAUUUGGGAUACAAUUACUAGAGCCUAUAUUAAUACUGAAAAAUGUUUUGUUGCUUAAAGUGGGUACCAUUAAAAGUUUUAGUACAUAUACGAGAACAGCAUUUGAUUUUUGUAUGACAAGAGAAAUGGCCGCAAAUUUUAGUUUUUGUCACAACACCAAACAAGCUUUUAAUAAGCUUCACAUUUUUUAGGUUUUGAAUCGUAUGGUCAUGCGACAGCUUUGGUUUAGUCAAGUACCCUAGAAGUAGGUAUAGGUUUUGCUAAAGGUAUAUAUUGAAAUACAAAAAUAAAAAAACCUGGAUAUUAUAUUGUAGCCAAUUACAAUCCUCUGACUAAUGUACGUGGAUAUUACAAAGCCAAUGUAUUGCCACCAGUUAAGCCGUUAAAUAGUUUUUUUAAAUUUAAAUAUAAGCCUUGAAAUUGAUACCCUAUAAUCUUAAAUUUAUUGUUCAGUUGUUUUAAUGAUUCUAAUGACGAACAACUAACAAAAUGUUUGAAUAAUAAUAAGUUGAUUAAAAAUUUAAAAAUGUUUAAUAUAUUUAAUUUCAUGUUUUUGAAUGUAAUAAAAGUUAAUAAAGAUUAAUAAAUUUAUAUAUACAGAGU